rnacentral:lncRNA from 1 species
GGAAGAAAUUAACUACUUGAUGAUCAGGAGCGUUUAGCCCCCAGGCCUUCUGACGCCUAAGGAUUGCUCACGUUACUUCAGCCAAUCAGAGAACUGUGCACGAGUGGAUUGCUUAUCCUGUAGCCCGCCUUCCUCACCGUGCCUUUCAAAAUACUUUGCUGAAACCUUCUGGAGAGUUGGGGGUUUGAGGGCAAGAAAGAAAGUGAAAGAAAGAAAGCGAAGUCGCUCAGUCAUGUCCAGUUGCUUAGUCGUGUCCGACUCUUUGCAACCCCGUGGACCAGGAUUCUCCAUCCAUGGGAUUUUCCAGGUGAGAAUACUGGAGUGGGUUACCAUUUCCUUCUUCAGGGGAUCUUCCAGACCCAAGGAUUGAACCUGUGUCUCCUGCAUUGGAGGCCUACGCUUUAACCUCUGAGCCACCAGGGAGCCACCCGUUUUCCUUGCAUGGCCUGCAGUAAGCCUUUCUCUGUUCCAAAUACCAACAUUUCGGUACUGUUUGGCCUCACUGUGCUGUCAGGCACAAGGAUUUGGCCUUUGGGAACAAGAGAAACAGAGGCCUGAGCCCCUUUCGAGAUUUCCCAGCUGAGCUGAUUGGCUGUGGCAUUAGUCCAUGUAACCAGGUACCCUUUCCAGGCAGAAGCAGCAGACCCAGAGUCACAGCCAAGCGCAAGCACGUACGUCUUUCACGGAGCACUGCGCUCUCUCAGAGCCGAGUCUCGCCUUGGAGGUUGAUGAUGCUCCGAAGUCACGGGGAGCUGGAGCCCAUCUCCACCGACAGCCGUCUGGCUUUUGGAUUCCAGUCACAUUCUUCACCAGCCGAAGGGAGUGCGCAAGAGAUAUGUAGCCUCACUUGUCUGGCAGCUUAUCCAAGGAGACUUCCUUUUCUCUGGUUCCCUGUGGAGUGCAUAUUAAGCCAUUGGAGAGAGAAGAGUGGACAAAUGUGGUGAGUAGUUUCAAAGUGGCUCCAGUUGAUUUGAAAACUACCAGCACAGACGAUCUCCAGGGUCCCCUUUCUGCUUCAUAUGACCCUGGCAGCUGUAUCAAAUUGAUCCUGUUUGACCAGGAAACAUGGAGUACUUGAAAUCACCAGCCUCUUCCAUUCCUACCCAGGGGGAGAAAAAACAGAAAGGAAAAAGAUUUCUCUUAUUGGACUCAAAGUUUGGCAAGAUUACAGAUAUGAUCAGGAGCUCAGGACUGGAUGUACAGAGACGUUAGUCAGCUAAAUUGAACAUGAUCGAAUGGCUGAUUCCAAUGUAAUUCCAUUAACCUCAUUUUUUUUUUGUAGAAACAAUUAAAAAAUUCAAAUGCUGUAUUCAUAAAUUGCAUUUGGGACUUAAUGGUGGUAUUUUUUCCCCAACUGAAAUGCCUCUGUGAGUUGCCCUCCAAUUCCCAUUUAUUUUUCCUUUAUACUUGAGCCUAAUUCUCAUGUGGGUCAGAAUAAAAGCACUCUGUGCAAUCUUUUAAC